rnacentral:tRNA from 1 species
GCCCCAAUAGCCCAACCGGCAGAGGCAGACGACUUAAAAUCGUCACAGUCAGGGUUCGAAUCCCUGUUGGGGCAC